AGCUAAGUGGCGCACGGGUGAGUAAUGUAUAGAUAACCUGCCCUUAAGAAAGGAAUAACAGUUGGAAACGACUGCUAAUGCCCUAUAUGCCUUUAAUACAUAAGUAUGCAAGGGAAACGCUUUAGUGCUUAAGGAUGGGUCUGUAUGGUAUCAGCUUGUUGGUGAGGUAAUGGCUCACCAAGGCUAUGACGCCUAACUGGUUUGAGAGGAUGAUCAGUCACACUGGAACUGAGACACGGUCCAGACUCCUACGGGAGGCAGCAGUGGGGAAUAUUGCACAAUGGACGAAAGUCUGAUGCAGCAACGCCGCGUGGAGGAUGACACAUUUCGGUGCGUAAACUCCUUUUAUAUAGGAAGAUAAUGACGGUACUAUAUGAAUAAGCACCGGCUAACUCCGUGCCAGCAGCCGCGGUAAUACGGAGGGUGCAAGCGUUACUCGGAAUCACUGGGCGUAAAGAGCGUGUAGGCGGGUAUAUAAGUCAGAAGUGAAAUCCAAUAGCUCAACUAUUGAACUGCUUUUGAAACUGUAUACCUAGAAUGUGGGAGAGGUAGAUGGAAUUUCUGGUGUAGGGGUAAAAUCCGUAGAGAUCAGAAGGAAUACCGAUUGCGAAGGCGAUCUACUGGAACAUUAUUGACGCUGAGACGCGAAAGCGUGGGGAGCAAACAGGAUUAGAUACCCUGGUAGUCCACGCCCUAAACGAUGUACACUAGUUGUUGUGAGGCUCGACCUUGCAGUAAUGCAGUUAACACAUUAAGUGUACCGCCUGGGGAGUACGGUCGCAAGAUUAAAACUCAAAGGAA
rnacentral:rRNA from 1 species